CUCAGAGUGAGUCCGCUCCGUUGACGGGUUUUAAACGCACUCUUCAUUCAAGCGCUGCGCAACUAAACCACAAACCAUUGCCACAGAAACGUGUUUGUGUGUGUGUGUGUG